UUAUGAAUGGCAUCGGAGUUUUCAAGCUGAUGCAAUGCUAAUUUGGUAAGCUGCAGAUAAUCAUAACAAUUGCCUACUUGAUGUUCUUCGUUUUCAUACCAGAGGGAUCAGCUAUGUUACAAAUUUCUUUUCACCUUUUUUGUUAAUUAGACACCCAGGUUGUAGUAGCCUAGUCAAGCAGCUGAGCAUCUCCUCUAGUUACUUGUCUUUUGAUGGGAAUCGCACCAGGCAACUUGUUCUGCUCAUAUUGAAGCUUGAUGCAUUAACAAUGGCAUCAAACUUUCAGAGUUUGGUAAGCUACACGCACACAUUCUUUAAGUUUUUGGUUUUCAAGUUGGACUGAUUAGCCAUGUCACAGAAGAUCUUUUGGGUUGAUGAUACGGACUGAGGAUGGAGCUUGGACCUCAAUAGUUAUUGGGAAGAGGAUGGGACAGAUGAUCAUGCAUCCAAUACUUGAUUCAACUGAUAUACAUCUAGUUCCCAACGCUGAAAGUCACCACCCUGAACCAGCUUUUAGUAGAGCUAGAGUGCCGAUUGGGGAGGGAAAGGGUUUGUCUACUCUUUGCAACGUGUUUAUGACAAGAAUGGUGCUUUGGAGAAGAUUCGGAGCAUGAAACUCGCUUUACGAAUCUGUUAUGCUGUUAUGGUGGAUCACUGGAUCCGCAUUCCACAAUUCUACAGUAGAGUAGAGAUGGAUGCCAAGUCUGAAAGAAGAUUGGCUCGGUGAAGGUAGUCAGUCUCGGAGUUUUGUAAAUAGUUGCAUUAUGACUGCAGUAACUGUAAUCACCAUUGAUGUACUUUCAUUUUGAUCGACAUUUUUAUGUAAGACUCGGUAUUUUCAGAA